GGGGAAUUAGCUCAGUUGGUAGAGCGCUUGCAUGGCAUGCAAGAGGUCAGCGGUUCGAACCCGCUAUUCUCCACUA
rnacentral:tRNA from 1 species